AGUUGAAUUCGAUCGUCGUCAGGAUGAACGCUAGCUACAGGCUUAACACAUGCAAGUCGAGGGGCAGCAUUAUCGAAGCUUGCUUUGAUAGAUGGCGACCGGCGCACGGGUGAGUAACGCGUAUCCAACCUUCCCUAUAGUAGAGAAUAGCCCGGCGAAAGUCGGAUUAAUGCUCUAUGUUGUAUUUAGAGGGCAUCUGAAGAAUACCAAAGGUUUACCGCUAUAGGAUGGGGAUGCGUCUGAUUAGGUAGUAGGCGGGGUAACGGCCCACCUAGCCGACGAUCAGUAGGGGUUCUGAGAGGAAGGUCCCCCACAUUGGAACUGAGACACGGUCCAAACUCCUACGGGAGGCAGCAGUGAGGAAUAUUGGUCAAUGGACGGAAGUCUGAACCAGCCAAGUAGCCGUGCAGGAUGACGGCCCUAUGGGUUGUAAACUGCUUUUAUAUAGGGAUAAAGUCGGGGACGUGUCCCCGUUUGUAGGUACUAUAUGAAUAAGGACCGGCUAAUUCCGUGCCAGCAGCCGC
rnacentral:rRNA from 1 species